UACGUAGGGUGCAAGCGUUAAUCGGAAUUACUGGGCGUAAAGCGUGCGCAGGCGGUUUUGUAAGUCUGUCGUGAAAGCCCCGGGCUCAACCUGGGAAUUGCGAUGGAGACUGCAAGGCUUGAAUCUGGCAGAGGGGGGGUAGAAUUCCACGUGUAGCAGUGAAAUGCGUAGAGAUGUGGAGGAAUACCGAUGGCGAAGGCAGCCUCCUGGGCCAACACUGACGCUCAUGCACGAAAGCGUGGGGAGCAAACCGG
rnacentral:rRNA from 1 species